CCAAUAUCCCCGGGGAAGCGCUGUUGGCUGCGCUUGAGAGGGAGGCGGCAGCCUCCGACCCGCUGAACCUGAUCCGGCUGACACCGGCGGAGGAAGUGGCGCGCGAGACCGA
rnacentral:ncRNA from 2 species